ACCGUCCGGAUGUCCUCAAAGAUG
rnacentral:siRNA from 1 species